CCCUUCUACAAAGGCGUGUCUGUGGUUCCCUGUCUUUGGGCAUCUGAGAAUUGGAGGCAAAGAAAUGUGGACUUGGAGAAGCCUGGGGCCAGCUUGUUCCCUGCAGCUGAAGAUCAACCAUCUUACCUAG